GUCCACCUCAGUCACCAGUGUGAACCAAGCCAGCACAUCCCGCCUGGAGGGCCUACAGUCAGAAAACCAUCGCCUGCGAAUGAAGAUCACAGAGUUUUUCACUCCCCCAGCACAACCCAGCAACCACCACAUCUAUAUGAUGUGCAAG
rnacentral:sRNA from 1 species